AGGAUGAGCCCUAUAUUGCAGCAGCAGUCAUUUACAUUAUCACCCAGCUUUCAGAUGAUAAGAAACCUCUUAAAGAUAUCUCAGUUGCUACUGGAGUUGCAGAAGGGACAAUAAGGAAUUCCUACAAGGAUCUUUAUCCCCGUGUAUCAAAGAUAAUUCCAGGCUGGUAUGCCAAGGAGGAGGAUCUCAAGAACCUUUGCAGCCCUUGAAAUGUAGAGCAAACAACAACGGGAAAGUUAGCAUUGCCAAGUUGGUUUUGCCGUUUUGAGGGGUGUUCGAUCUCUCUGAUGUAUUUAACUCUUUUACACAAUUCGAUUCCCCUAAUAGCAUUGCGAUAUAUUUAUUUAUA